CCUACGGGAGGCAGCAGUGGGGAAUAUUGGACAAUGGGGGCAACCCUGAUCCAGCCAUGCCGCGUGUGUGAAGAAGGCCCUCGGGUUGUAAAGCACUUUCAGUGAGGAAGAACGCCUGGUGGUUAAUACCCAUCAGGAAAGACAUCACUCACAGAAGAAGCACCGGCUAACUCCGUGCCAGCAGCCGCGGUAAUACGGAGGGUGCGAGCGUUAAUCGGAAUUACUGGGCGUAAAGCGCGCGUAGGUGGCUUGAUAAGCCGGUUGUGAAAGCCCCGGGCUCAACCUGGGAACGGCAUCCGGAACUGUCAAGCUAGAGUGCAGGAGAGGAAGGUAGAAUUCCCGGUGUAGCGGUGAAAUGCGUAGAGAUCGGGAGGAAUACCAGUGGCGAAGGCGGCCUUCUGGACUGACACUGACACUGAGGUGCGAAAGCGUGGGUAGCGAACAGGAUUAGAUACCCUAGUAGUC
rnacentral:rRNA from 1 species